rnacentral:misc_RNA from 1 species
AUAUGGACCAACAGGGGUCUUAAAUCCCGUGUCACCAGCUAUUCCAUCAUGACGUAAAAAAUCAUGGGGGAAUAGCUGCUGUGUGCCCAUUAACCCAUUGUGAAACUUCUACCUUUGCUUCGGCAGCACUCUCAGCGAAAGCUGGAGGGGUAAGGCUGUCAGAAGCCCAUAUCAAACCAGUUUAUGAAAUGUCAUGCUGUCUGAUAACUACUAUUUGAGAAAUCAAAUUUAUCUUA